UUUUAAAAGAAAUAAGGGCAAAUGGUAGCUCAACAACCUCCGAUUCGCAUCCCACAAAACUCCAAUAAUGUAACUGUUAAACUUGUAAUUAUAAAAUUAUGGAAUUUCAGACCCCUCAAAGAAAUUAUCAAAUACAUAAUAAUUAAAAUAAAACAAAGUCAAAUUAUAAGCUGUCCUUGUCUUCUUGAGUGGUCCAUCGUAGAAAGGCUAGCUCCCACAUGGAGCUUAAUGUAAGCUUCACUCACCUUCUCAUUUGCCCAUCACAUUAAAUACAGCAGAGAAUAGAUACGAAUCUUGCUAAUUAGUAAUUAGCAUCCACAAUGUAUGUUAAAAGAGUGAUUUUUUAAUUAAUUAUUUCACUUAUUAGACAAAAACCAGGCUCAGGCUAGCAAAUCUCAAAUCUUUUUUGCAAGUUUUAUUAACAUAUUACAAUGAUUUAUGCUUUUGGGGACAUAUGCUUUGCCCUCACAUACCAAGAAACUAAACAGGAAGAAAAAGAAGCAAAUGGAAAUACCUUGAUCUGAUUUACGUAAGAACAUCAUGAACACAAAUCCCAGAAGAUAAUGAUCAUUGAAGAAUAUGAUCUUAAUUUCAGCUCGACCGGCAAGAAAUUAGUUGACCAUAUGAUGUUCUUCUUGAUCUUGGAAGGUAUACUAUUGAAUCAGAAACAGCACAAGUUCUUUUACAGGAAGUGUAAAUAUUUAUGAAGCCAAACCUGCCGCUAAUGCUUCUUGAAACCUUAGUAACAUUCCAAAAGUUACUACCAGAAUGAUCUUCUUCAUCAUCACCCUUUGAACAUUCAACUAAUGCAGUGAAGAAAGGAUCCUUUCCAAAGCUCUCUUUAGAAUUCUUCUUUCGGAUUAUUCCAACUUCCUCCAAGUUGAAUCUUUUUGAGGUAUGAGGAGGCAAGGGAAGGGCUUUCACUACUGUAGAGUCCUUUUUCUUGCAACUUGGUUUCUUGGGAAUUCCUGGCAAAUGUUCCCAAGAAAAUGGAACGCCGGAAAAUCGACGCGGGGUGGCCGGAUUAGGUGGGAAGUCAUCUGGAAACUCUGAAAAAGAGCACGACGAGAAGGAGGAAAAGGAAGGUGUUCGGUGAGAGGAAGAGUGUUUAGUUGCUGGGAGAAGUGAAGUGUCACAUUCUUUCAGAACAUUUUGGGCAUGGACACUAAGAGUUGCUGAGCCAUCCAUGGUUUUAGAGGAUGAGAGGAGAGGCAUUUUCUUUGUGUUGCUAGAGACUUUUUUCAACCUUUUUUGUCCAUUGUUCUACUUUGCUUCAAUCUUAUAAAUAGAGACUACUGGAAGUGGGAGAGAGGAGAGAGUGG
rnacentral:misc_RNA from 1 species